rnacentral:rRNA from 1 species
GACGUAGGGCGCGAGCGUUGUCCGGAUUUAUUGGGCGUAAAGAGCUCGUAGGCGGCUUGUCGCGUCGAAUGUGAAAACUCGGGGCUCAACUCCGAGCUUGCAUUCGAUACGGGCAGGCUAGAGUUCGGUAGGGGAGACUGGAAUUCCUGGUGUAGCGGUGAAAUGCGCAGAUAUCAGGAGGAACACCGGUGGCGAAGGCGGGUCUCUGGGCAUUAACUGACGCUGAGACGCGAAAGCUAGGGGAGCAAACGGG